CCUAAGCAUUUCAUCAAGUGCACUAACAAUUCUGCUAGCUUGCCAUCUUAACGUGGACGUUAAUAAUGAUGACAAUGAUCCUUUGGUAGUGGUGUCAAUAGAAUAAAAUAAGUACGAUGCCAGUCACAUUCUAGGAGGAUGUUGAUGACCUUACAUCUGUUAAAAGUCAUUUUAUGUGUCAAAUUCAUUAAUGUAUGAGUUGAAGUCUAUUGAUUCCAAAUGCACCAUCAUUAAUAACGGUUUGUUGGUAACUUUGCUAUGAGGAAAAAAUCUUGGUGUUUGGACACAAAACCAGUACACGGAAAAAUCAAAAAACCAUUUUCACUAGAUAUUUUCAUAGCAACCAAAAUCUGAUUUUAGCUUUACAUAUGUUAGUAUUUUGCAUGUAUGUGUAUGUG